UUGCAGUGAGCCCAGAUUGCACCACUGCACUCCAGCCUGGGCAACAGAGUGAGACUCUCGGAAAGGUGGGGCACUUACCCGGCAGUCACUCCAGGACAACACAGCUUCACGGACCUGCCUGGCUGCCCAUAGAGGGUGGCAAGUCACAAGUCAGAGUUGGGAGGUUGUAGAGCAGGGUUCUUCUCACCUGGGGGGCCCCAGGCCUGGGGGCAGGGGGAGGAGGCAGACACCAGGGCUGUAGCCACGGCCACCAGGACCCUGCUCAGCCCUGAGCAGCUGCUGCUCAUCUGUGGGGAGAGGUAGAGUCAAAAAUCCCCGACCCCUGAGAUGGGAGGCUAAAGCCUGGCUCUUCCUCUCCAAAACUGAGGCUUCCUAGGAGAAAAAUUGAUGCACCAAGUGGGGUAAGGCUGUUAGAAAUCACUGCGGGAACUGACCUGAGGUCCCCUUUCCCACUGUAUACCCAGUGCUUUGCAUGUG
rnacentral:lncRNA from 1 species